rnacentral:lncRNA from 1 species
UCAACUUUGCUUCCACUAUUAUCCAAGAGCUUCUCAAUGUCAUCUACCCCUCUAAACAUGCUCCGGUCUCUCACAGAAUUCCGUCCAUUGUAGAAAUGACCUCAUAAACUUCUGUAAGUUUCACAGUUAUCUGCACCUCCUUAAUUUACUUAUGAAGUGGACUAAAUAUAUACAUACUAAAUAUAUACAUAUUUUGUUCUACUUGACAUGUUGGAGUUUUCAACGUUAAAACAGAAAUGUCAAUAUUAGACGAGUUCCAAAAGUUCUGCCUGCUGGAUUGUUCAGGCUACAAAAGACAGAAAGCCAUUCGAUUGUGCAAACUGUAAGCG